rnacentral:rRNA from 1 species
UACAGAGGUCCCAAGCGUUGUUCGGAUUCACUGGGCGUAAAGGGUGCGUAGGCGGUCGGGUAAGUCUGACGUGAAAUCUCCAAGCUCAACUUGGAAAUGGCGUCGGAUACUAUUCGGCUCGAGGAAUGGAGAGGAGACUGGAAUUCCUGGUGUAGCAGUGAAAUGCGUAGAUAUCAGGAGGAACACCGAUGGCGAAGGCAGGUCUCUGGGCUGACACUGACGCUCAUGCACGAAAGCGUGGGGAGCAAACAGG